CAGUCGCCGCGGUAAUACGAAGGGUGCAAGCGUUAAUCGGAAUUACUGGGCGUAAAGCGUGCGUAGGCGGUUUGUUAAGUCUGCUGUGAAAUCCCCGGGCUCAACCUGGGAAUGGCAGUGGAUACUGGCAAGCUAGAGUGUGUCAGAGGAUGGUGGAAUUCCCGGUGUAGCGGUGAAAUGCGUAGAGAUCGGGAGGAACAUCAGUGGCGAAGGCGGCCAUCUGGGACAACACUGACGCUGAGGCACGAAAGCGUGGGGAGCAAACAGGAUUAGAUGCCCCUGUAGUCCCUGUCUCUUAUAC
rnacentral:rRNA from 1 species